GACGAACGCUGGCGGCGUGCCUAAUACAUGCAAGUCGAACGCAGUGGGGACGGGUGAGUAACACGUUGGUAACCUCCCAUCAGAGGGGAUAAAACUUGCAAACAGGUGCAAGCCCGAUACUGACUGAUGGACCCGCGGUGCAUUAGCCAGUUGGUGAGGUAACGGCUCACCAAGGCCACGAUGAAUAUCCGACCUGAGAGGGUGAUCGGCCACACUGGGACUGAGACACGGCCCAGACUCCGACGGGAGGCAGCAGUAGGGAAUCUUCGGCAAUGGACGAAAGUCUGACCGAGCAACGCCGCGUGAGUGAAGAAGGUUUUCGGAUCGUAAAACUCUGUUGUUAGAGAAGCGGUAUCUAACCAGAAAGCCACGGCUAACUACGUGCCAGCAGCCGCGGUAAUUC
rnacentral:rRNA from 1 species